GGCUCAGUGGCGGAGUGGUUCGCAUCUGCACUUUGUUCCCACAAAAAGUGGUAGAGUUUGCAGAAGACGCUUGUUCGAAUCAAGCCUGAGCCU